ensembl:lncRNA
CGGGUGACGUGUGCGCGCGUGAGCGCGUGCCGUGUGUAUGUGCGUGUGCGCGUGUGUAACUGUGCCUACGGGGGUGCGGGAGAGAGAGCCCGAGGGCAGCGGGGGGCUGCCCCCUCCCACCCCCCCCCCCCGCAGCAGGGAGGGGGCGGGGAGCGGGCUCUGGGAUCCGCUGUGAGGCGGCCCCCCGGGAUACCCCCGCGUGCACGCGGCCACGCGAGGGAAAAGUUUAUCGCAGGGGCUCGGGGGUGUCAGAGAGCGGCGGGGUCAGGGGCCGGGCGGUGCGGGGCCGGGGAGCAUCGCAGCCCGCCGCUGGGUGGGAAUAACCGCUGGGCUCGGAGGGGUGGGCGCUGCCGGCGAGGAGCUGGUGGAGAUGCAGGCAGCGCCCGAGCCGGGCAGCGCCGCUCCGUGCUCCUGGGAACCGGAGGGGGAGAGGGGGAAGGGGCUGGUGCGGUGGAAUAUCAUUAUCCGCUCUAGAAGUGGGUCAGGGCGCAGGCAUUGGCAUCGCUGCUCUGGGGAGACAAAACGAGAGCAAAAGAAUAAAAAUAAGAAAUAAAAAUGAAGAAAAAAAGAAUACGUAACAACAGUCAACAAAACCCCAAAGCAUCCAAAUGAGAAGUGUAAAAUUAAGGGCUACAGACACCACGUCCCACGGCCGGGACACCUCGGAACAGCGCUUGGGGCUUUGGCAGCACGAGGGCACAGCCGAUCCCCCACCUCACCGCAGGCAGUGUGAGCAGCGCUGUGUUAGCGGUGCCGUUCCCGUCGGGGUGGUGGGAACAGCUCUGCACAGAUGUGAGAUGACAUUUAAUGGUGGGCAGCUUCAGCGCGGCAGCACCCAGUGCCUUACAGGUGGCUGUGCUGCUCUGCCCUCCUUCCCCAGGUAUGGCCUCUCCUUCCAGGAGAACAUAAAACUUUCAGUGCCCCUGCUCUAGCUGGGGAGGGCAGAGCUCUCUCGCCGUGAAGCAAAUUGGCAAAUUCAGAGUGAAAGACUGCAGGAGAAAUUGCCGAGACGUUCAAGCAUUGUGUCUGGAAAGCAGGCGGUGGACGUGUCUCCCAUGCAAGGUCACAGGUGGGAAAGAAGGAAUAUUCAGUCACUCUGGAGAUGGAUUUUCACCACCACAGCUAAACACAGGUAUUUUAUUACAGACCAGUGCAGGGUGAGAUAUGGCCAUUUGGUGCUGUCAAUGCCCACAGGACAAUGGAAGCACAUGGCUGCCAGGAUGCCUCUCCACAUGGCUUUCUGCAGGCUGGGAGGUGGACAUGACUUGCUUGUGAGUACCUGUGAGCCUGCAGAGCUAUCAGCCUCCCUCCAUCCUGUGGGGAUCACUUUCUGUCUCCAGAUUUCAGAUGUUCUCAAAGCUUUGUGACCAGCUGACAAGGCUAAAGGAUCACCUCCAGCAGCUGCUGAUGCAGUUACCUACACAGGGUGGCACUGGAAAAGCUUUGGGUAGGUCAGUGUUCUCCUUUCUUGUAGGGCUUCUUUAAGAAUUCCCUUUUAUUUUCACCACAAACUCAUCACAAGCACACCCACACCAAAGGGCAAGCACAACACUGAUAGGUGGCAUUAAAUAUUUCCUGGUUUUCCACAGCAGAUUACCACACAGAAGGAAUCUGGUUCUGACAGUCUUUUUGCCAGUAGUUAACUUUCCCCUUCAAUGGGUGAUGCACUGAAUUAUUUUACCAGGAGAGCAAUGGACAUUUAGGACAGAUCACCAGUGAUUGUGUCAGAUUCUCCGUCAUUUAAAACCUUUGCAUCAAGAAUUGAAUGACCUUAAAACGUGAACACAAAUUUCUACACUAACUGACGAGCAGUUCUGUAGCCUGGACUGGAGAGGCAGUAAGGAUGGGCUGUAAGGCUCACCUCUGGCCUGUCACUGUAUAUGCACGUUGUCAGGAUAACAACAAAAAGGAUAAUAUCCUGAUGUUCACAGCAGCUUUCAAUAGUUGCCACAGGUUUAGAAAAGACACAAGCCCUGGUAAGAGUUGCUACAAUGCCUCUGUGCUUCUUGCACUGAAGAAUGACUGGUGAAAGAUUUUUCUGUGUGGUCUGAUAAACACUUGGCUGUGGUAGAGUGAUGUCAUUCAUCCUCACCUUUAGCAUUCGCAUCAUGGUGUUUUAGCUUGUCCUGACAUCCAGUCAAACUCACCAAAAUUAAUUUGGAAUAAGUGUUAUGUGCCAAGCAAAUUGAUUCAGUAGCUAUACAGACAUGGUAUCUGUCACUGCGCCCACUUUCUCACAUAUAG